rnacentral:rRNA from 1 species
UACGGAGGGUGCAAACGUUGCUCGGAAUCAUUGGGCGUAAAGCGCACGUAGGCGGCCUGUUAAGUCGGAUGUGAAAGCCCUGGGCUCAACCCAGGAAGUGCAUUCGAUACUGGCAGGCUUGAGUAUGGAAGAGGGUUGCGGAAUUCCCGGUGUAGAGGUGAAAUUCGUAGAUAUCGGGAGGAACACCAGUGGCGAAGGCGGCAACCUGGGCCAAUACUGACGCUGAGGUGCGAAAGCGUGGGGAGCAAACAGG